rnacentral:misc_RNA from 1 species
GAGGGUGUGCAAUAUAUGUCAGCGACAAGCCUGGUCAACAUGACUUCAAUCUUUUGAAGAAGCUUGUGCUCCCAGAUGGUUCUAUUCUGAGAGCUAAGCUCCCCGGAAGACCGACGAAGGACUGCCUAUUUACGGAUCCUGCUAGAGAUGGAAAAAGUCUAUUGAAGAUUUGGAAUUUGAAUGAUCUGUCGGGAGUUGUUGGGGUGUUUAACUGUCAAGGAGCAGGAUGGUGUAAGGUUGGAAAGAAGAACCUCAUUCACAAUGAAAAUCCCGACACGAUCACAGGGGUUAUUCGGGCAAAAGAUGUUAGUUAUCUGUGGAAGAUUGCAGGCGACUCCUGGACAGGGGAUGCAGUCAUAUUCUCCCAUCUUGCUGGAGAAGUUGUCUACCUACCAAAGGAUGCAUCAAUGCCCAUAACCUUGAAAGCUCGUGAAUACGAUGUCUUCACGGUUGUUCCCGUCAAGGAACUGGUUAAUCACAUCAACUUUGCUCCCAUAGGUUUGAUCAAGAUGUUCAACUCUGGAGGAGCUGUGAAAGAAUUGAACCAUCAACCUGGAAGUUCAAAUGUAUCAUUGAAAGUUCGCGGUUCCGGGCCAUUCGGGGCUUAUUCCUCGACCAAACCAAAGCGAG